CACCGCGGUUAUACGAGCAGGCCCAAGUUGAUAAACACCGGCGUAAAGCGUGGUUAAGGAACUAUUUAAACUAAAGUCGAACACCCUCCGGGCUGUUAUACGCAUCCGAGGGCAUGAAGAACCACCACGAAAGUGACUUUAUUCUGACCUGAACCCACGAAAGCUAAGACA
rnacentral:rRNA from 1 species